rnacentral:rRNA from 1 species
UUUUCCCUCGGGACGCAGCAGUCGGGAAUAUUGCGCAAUGGAGGAAACUCUGACGCAGUGACGCCGCGUAUAGGAAGAAGGUUUUCGGAUUGUAAACUAUUGUCAUUAGGGAAGAUAAAAGACUGUACCUAAGGAGGAAGCCCCGGCUAACUAUGUGCCAGCAGCCGCGGUAAUACAUAGGGGGCAAGCGUUAUCCGGAUUUACUGGGUGUAAAGGGAGCGUAGACGGCGCUGCAAGUCCGGAGUGAAAGUCCAUGGCUUAACCAUGGUACUGCUCUGGAAACUGUGGAGCUUGAGUGCGGGAGG